rnacentral:rRNA from 2 species
CUGCAGUCGNACGAACUCUGGUAUUGAUUGGUGCUUGCAUCAUGAUUUACAUUUGAGUGAGUGGCGAACUGGUGAGUAACACGUGGGAAACCUGCCCAGAAGCGGGGGAUAACACCUGGAAACAGAUGCUAAUACCGCAUAACAACUUGGACCGCAUGGUCCGAGNUUGAAAGAUGGCUUCGGCUAUCACUUUUGGAUGGUCCCGCGGCGUAUUAGCUAGAUGGUGGGGUAACGGCUCACCAUGGCAAUGAUACGUAGCCGACCUGAGAGGGUAAUCGGCCACAUUGGGACUGAGACACGGCCCAAACUCCUACGGGAGGCAGCAGUAGGGAAUCUUCCACAAUGGACGAAAGUCUGAUGGAGCAACGCCGCGUGAGUGAAGAAGGGUUUCGGCUCGUAAAACUCUGUUGUUAAAGAAGAACAUAUCUGAGAGUAACUGUUCAGGUAUUGACGGUAUUUAACCAGAAAGCCACGGCUAACUACGUGCCAGCAGCCGCGGU